rnacentral:Y_RNA from 1 species
GGCUGGUUUGAUGGUAGUGGGUUAUCUGAACUUACAAACAUCAAUGUCACCAAAGUUGAUAAACAACCCCCCACUGCUAAAUUUGACUGGCUUUAA